rnacentral:rRNA from 1 species
UACGUAGGGUCCGAGCGUUGUCCGGAAUUAUUGGGCGUAAAGGGCUCGUAGGCGGCCUGUUGCGUCGGGAGUGAAAACUUACAGCUUAACUGUGAGCGUGCUUCCGAUACGGGCAGACUUGAGGUAUUCAGGGGAGAACGGAAUUCCUGGUGUAGCGGUGAAAUGCGCAGAUAUCAGGAGGAACACCGGUGGCGAAGGCGGUUCUCUGGGAAUAUCCUGACGCUGAGGAGCGAAAGUGUGGGGAGCGAACAGG